GCAGCUGGUCAGAGAGCCUGAGUCUAGAGGGUCAAGGGGACAAGGUCUCUAACCUAGGGUAGCUUUGAAUUGCCUGUGCUUUGGAGAAUGUCCUUGAACUUCUAAAUCCUUCUUCCAUUAAUCAAGUGCUGGGAUCACAAGUGAAUAUGACCACGCACACUUUGUGUGCUGCUGGAGUUGGACCCAGAGCCUCCUAUAAAAUUGAGGGAGGCCAACUGGGGCUGGUCCGCGACAUAUCAGUAGUUGCCUAUACAAGAUCAAGUCAGCAUCUUUACAGUAUGGAUGGAGAAAGAUACAUGAGUUCCAAGUCCAUGCUCAGAAGCUAUUGGCAGUUGACAGUUUGUUGUUAUUGAGGAAGGGGGAAUCAAUUUUAUUAGAGGUGACCGCCAUAUGCUCUCCGAUCCACCACCGCUAAGGACUGCUCACCCAGCUCCCAAGGCUACUUCAAGAAGCUGCUCUGGUCUCCCUCAGCUCCAACAAACGGCCAGCUCUGAUGCUGUGAAGGCAGGGAAUUGUGCUCCCUUUCCACCAGCCAACAACUCCCUGGCUAGCUCAGCCAGUGUGUGCCCCAGCUGUGCCUUGUCUCCUGAGUCACCUGGGAUGGAAAACAUGAGAGAGAGAUCUAACACUUUAAAACCAGCCAGAUAACACAACUGCUGGGCACAAAAUCUAUUGCCCUAAACUGAUCAGCUAUCCUAUAUCAGAAUUAUACUGGUGGCAGAGGCCACAACCAGUUCUAGUUGCCCCCAGGCCUUACAUGGUAUCCUGCUCCACUCCUCCAAGUCUUGCCAAAAAACCCUUGCUCUAUCUCUUUUUCUCCUCUUCCUCCUGGGAUCUGAAAAUCCCCCCCCCUUUUUUUUUCUCCCAGCGAUUAGCUUCUUCCGUCUUUAUUGACAUAAUCAAGAAACAGUUAGGGAACCAGAUUUUAGUACCAGCUCCUCCACCUACACUACACAUCAGGUUCUGCAGUCCUCUUAAAGCAACCUAUAGUUGCCUAGGGUGUAGGUUAUACAUAUCUAAGUAUGUAUAUAAGAAAAAUCAUAGGUGUGAAUUAAAAAUAAACUCUUCUUUUCUAGU